CGGCAGCUACCAUGCAAGUCGAGCGGAGAGAGGUAGCUUGCUACUGAUCUUAGCGGCGGACGGGUGAGUAAUGCUUAGGAAUCUGCCUAUUAGUGGGGGACAACAUUUCGAAAGGAAUGCUAAUACCGCAUACGUCCUACGGGAGAAAGCAGGGGAUCUUCGGACCUUGCGCUAAUAGAUGAGCCUAAGUCGGAUUAGCUAGUUGGUGGGGUAAAGGCCUACCAAGGCGACGAUCUGUAGCGGGUCUGAGAGGAUGAUCCGCCACACUGGGACUGAGACACGGCCCAGACUCCUACGGGAGGCAGCAGUGGGGAAUAUUGGACAAUGGGCGCAAGCCUGAUCCAGCCAUGCCGCGUGUGUGAAGAAGGCCUUAUGGUUGUAAAGCACUUUAAGCGAGGAGGAGGCUACUUUAGAUAAUACCUAGAGAUAGUGGACGUUACUCGCAGAAUAAGCACCGGCUAACUCUGUGCCAGCAGCCGCGGUAAUACAGAGGGUGCAAGCGUUAAUCGGAUUUACUGGGCGUAAAGCGCGCGUAGGCGGCUAAUUAAGUCAAAUGUGAAAUCCCCGAGCUUAACUUGGGAAUUGCAUUCGAUACUGGUUAGCUAGAGUGUGGGAGAGGAUGGUAGAAUUCCAGGUGUAGCGGUGAAAUGCGUAGAGAUCUGGAGGAAUACCGAUGGCGAAGGCAGCCAUCUGGCCUAACACUGACGCUGAGGUGCGAAAGCAUGGGGAGCAAACAGGAUUAGAUACCCUGGUAGUCCAUGCCGUAAACGAUGUCUACUAGCC
rnacentral:rRNA from 1 species